GAGUGUUGUCAGCUACUAGCAUGGGAUGGGAAAAUGCUAACGGCAGGGGACACUAGUGAAUGGCUUGAACCUGGAGAUUUUUCUGCCCAUUUAAAUUUGCUUUCUUUCCAGUUAUUCAGCAUAUGGGUCUCCUUUUCUAGGUUAUAAUGGAGAGGGCAAUUUACUCUGUCCAAUUUUUUGUGUUUAACUGCUUUUCAUGGGGUGGAAAAAAAAAAAAAAAAAAAAAAAAAAACAGAGUAAAACCAGAAGAAAAUUUUGGCGGGUUAUUUGUCUGAGAGAAGUAUUCUUCAGAGUAGUGAUCAAUUGAUCAUAUAUAUAUCAAGACGUAUUUGACAUCUUUGGAGAUGGUCUAUAAGGACUUUAUGUAAGCCCAAAAUUUGGGUUGGGGGUGAUAGUGGGAAAGAGGUUUUUAGACAAAAGUCGUCCUUACCGCUCUUAUAAAGUCAUUUGAGCAUUUUUUUUCAUUUGAGAAUCUCUUCCCCUCACUCUUUUUCGAAGAAUAACCAGCACCAAGUCAAUAAACAUAUAUUUUUCUAAACGGAGUAGGACAUGGGCAGCAGUUACCUAGUCAUGAACCAAGCAUUCUGGCAUUGUGCACUCUCGCCUGGCCUCCGGGUAACGUUCUCUCUCGGCAUAGGCAAGGUCCACAUGCAAUUGUGCAUUCAUGGUUGGACCCACACUCUAGCGAGCAUUCAGGACCCAAUUCCAAGCGAAGUGUUUAUUCGUGGCUUGGCCCGCAUGGUUGGGCCCACACUUAGAAAUUUGCCUUCAUCAAAUAGUAUAUGCUUGGAGACAAGCAGGUUAUUGUCUAUGAGUGAAAAACAUAUAUAGCCUUUAUAUUGUGCAACAUAUCCCAUAAAAAUGCACUCAGUUGUUUUUUAUUUAAGUUUAUUACAUCUUGUUGACCCUAGAAACUACAAAGCCUACGUGGCGCGCAGGCCGAGUAUUCUAUAAGCUAACUACGUCCUUCGGUGAAUGCGGGGCGUGCCAACUCGUCGGCCGAGCUCGGCCGAGGAGUAAAUUUGUUGAUGUUGCGUUGAGCGCGCUGCUGACUUCUGUGUCUUGCGAUUGCGGCCGAGGAAGGAACAAUUCUCGGCCUCUUGGGUUCUAGAGCCUGAAGACAAGGCUGCUAAUUUGCGAAGUUCAAUCUCAAAUUCGGCUGUCAAUGUGCCGAAUACAGUAACCUGGUAACACCUCACUUCGCCGAGAAGGCUGAUGAGAUGACCUCGACCAAUAAGGAUUCGGAAAUCCUUCUCGACCGAGACUUGGAUAGGUAAGCAGUCGUCCUCGCCGUAGUGCUGUUGAUGCCAACGGAAGAUGCUGCGAGAUCGGCUGAUUCUACGGUGACAGAGCUAUCUAUGCCGACUUAAGAUAUCACCGGUUGCCUUCACAGUGCUGUUGAUGCCAACGGAAGAUGUGUCGGCGAAAAAAGAAAAUAAAAAAUCUCAAGGUGUUGAGAAAGUUUGCGCAGGGCAGUUUUGUUUGUGUCCUCUUUUCUGUCGCAGAAUAGCUUGUAUUUAUAGUAUUUUGUACUUGCUUGGCACGAACUGCAACUCUGACUCCUUCAAAAUUGAUCCGUGUGAAAUGCCAAAGCCUAUCCUCCAGCUUUUGUGACUUUUCAAACCUAAUAAAAGUUAGGCUUUAUCAUAUCUCAUAAAAAGCCUAGCCCACCUAAACUUCUUAUCAUCAAAACCCAUCUGACACCAUCCAUCACCAUGUAAAAAGACCUAGUCUACCUAGGUUCCUUAUCCCAUCAUUAUCCAAGACCAUGACUUUAAAAUCAUCAAAUCCCCAAGUUUUUUCAAUCUGCACGUUCAUUGCUAAACAUCCAAAUUAAUUUGAACUGUAUCUCUUACUUGAGGAUAUAAUUUGCAUCCUAUCCAUCCCGUUUAAAAAUAUGUCAAGAUAAUUCAAAUUAAAAGAUAAUUAUGAUAAAAACCAUAAUAUUAUCUUUUAAAAAAAUAUCUUCACUUUUCCAUCCGACGGCUGAGAACUAUGUUUACUCUACGGUCUCGAUUACACGGGCCGAUGGUGUAAAUUUGGGUCCAAACAGGGUGAUAGUGGGAAAGAGGUUUUUAGACAAAAGUCGUCCUUACCGCUCUUAUAAAGUCAUUUGAGCAUUUUUUUCAUUUUAGAAUCUCUUCCCCUCACUCUUUUUCGAAGAAUAACCAGCACCAAAUCAAUAAACAUAUAUUUUUCUAAACGGAGUAGGACAUGGGCAGCAGUUACCUAGUCAUGAACCAAGCAUUCUGGCAUUGUGCACUCUCGCCUGGCCUCCGGGUAACGUUCUCUCUCGGCAUAGGCAAGGUCCACAUGCAAUUGUGCAUUCAUGGUUGGACCCACACUCUAGCGAGCAUUCAGGACCCAAUUCCAAGCGAAGUGUUUAUUCGUGGCUUGGCCCGCAUGGUUGGGCCCACACUUAGAAAUUUGCCUUCAUCAAAUAGUAUAUGCUUGGAGACAAGCAGGUUAUUGUCUAUGAGUGAAAAACAUAUAUAGCCUUUAUAUUGUGCAACAUAUCCCAGAAAAAUGCACUCAGUUGUUUUUUAUUUA
rnacentral:lncRNA from 1 species